rnacentral:lncRNA from 1 species
ACACAGAAUACCAAUGACUCUUAGACUCAUUCCCGGGCCUCCGGCUGACCACGGGAAAGGGGAUCUUCAGGAGCGGGUGUCUCAUGGCUGGGAAGAGGACGGCACAGGAGGGCUGGGGAACCCGAAUUGCAGCCUGAAUGGCCAGUGUCCUUUCUCCAGAAUGCAGUUCUCCCUUGCUCAGAAGAAAUGAGUCUGCCAGUGGGUACAACAUGAGAUGAUACUUCCACCCCCAUUGGUGACAGCCCUCACCUAGCUAUCAAGUUCAAAAUGAAGCAGACCAUAGCUGAGUUUAAAGGAGAUCCGAUUGACAUUGGGAAGUGGCACCCAAUAAGAUGGCUGUUUCUUCCGCCUGCUCCAGGGCUCGCCAACAGGAGAACUGAAAGCUGAAGCAUCUCAACCUGCAGAUACAUCUCAAAGGCCCCUUCAGCCGAUGUCCUCAGUGCCCUUGACACAGCCCCUUGGCACUUGCCUUCCACACACAUGCUGCUGCACCAGUUUCCUCCUGGUAGCAUCUUCCUUUCCGCCUGAGGAUUUCCCAGGCAUCCUGCCUCCAAGAAAGUCAGAAGUCAGUGCCUUCCUGAGAGCCGGUGAGAGCUCCGUCUCCCUUGGGCAAGUGGUGCUGAUGCCUGUUCCCUGCAUCCAUCUCUCAGAAGCCACAGCAGAACUGAGCUCCAGGGGCCACUGCGAGAAGCAUUUAUGGAGCUCGUGGAGUGAGGCAUCUCUUUAAUCCCUUCAGUAAGUCAGUGUGGGCCAAGGAGUCUGAGGAUCAGAGACCUUGUGACUUUUUAAGUGAAGAUUUACUAUGUGCUGGGGCCCAUUGUGUUUUAUUUUAUUGACUCGUCCCAAGCUCUAAGAGGGAGAGACCUUGAUUGUCCCAAUUUCACUGACACAGUUUGGGAAGGUUAAAACAUGAUGAAAGGAAAUAGACUGGAAUGAUACAGUAAUAUGGAAUUGAGCAUUUUCACCAACAUUUUUACAUGUUUUAAAAUGUCAUUUUCUGGCCAGGGGUGGUGGCUCACGCCUGUAACCCCAGCACUUUGG